UACGUAGGCAGCGAGCGUUGUUCGGAGUUACUGGGCGUAAAGGGUGCGUAGGCGGCCUCUUAAGUUUGGUGUGAAAUCUCCCGGCUCAACUGGGAGGGUGCGCCGGAUACUGAGGGGCUAGAGUGCGGGAGGGGAAAGUGGAAUUCCUGGUGUAGCGGUGAAAUGCGUAGAUAUCAGGAGGAACACCGGUGGUGUAAACGGCUUUCUGGACCGUAACUGACGCUGAGGCACGAAAGCGUGGGGAGCAAAC
rnacentral:rRNA from 1 species